AACGAACGCUGGCGGCAGGCUUAACACAUGCAAGUCGAGCGCCCCGCAAGGGGAGCGGCAGACGGGUGAGUAACGCGUGGGAACGUACCUUUUGGUUCGGAACAACUCCUGGAAACUGGAGCUAAUACCUGAUAAGCCCUCACGGGGAAAGAUUUAUCGCCGAAAGCUCGGCCCGCGUCUGAUUAGCUAGUUGGUGAGGUAACGGCUCACCAAGGCGACGAUCAGUAGCUGGUCUGAGAGGAUGAUCAGCCACACUGGGACUGAGACACGGCCCCGACUCCUACGGGAGGCAGCAGUGGGGAAUAUUGGACAAUGGGCGCAAGACUGAUCCAGCCAUGCCGCGUGAGUGAUGAAGGCAUUAGGGUUGUAAAGCUCUUUUGUCCGGGAAGAUAAUGACUGUACCGGAAGAAUAAGCCCCGGCUAACUUCGUG
rnacentral:rRNA from 1 species